GCAAAAGUAUGGGAUGAGCUGUGGAUUGGAGUGAAAGGCUAAUCAGGCAUGGAGAUAGCUGGUUCUCCCCGAAAACUAUUUAGGUAGUGCCUCGUGUAUAACUCAUUGGGGUAAAGCACUGUUUCGACAAUGGGGGUUUUACGACCUUACUGACUUGAUGCAAACUCAGAAUACGAUGAAGUUCAAUCACGGGAGACACACUGCGGGUGCUAAGAUCCGUAGUGGAAAGGGAAACAGCCCAGACCGCCAACUAAGGUCCCUAAGUCAUAGCUAAGUGGGAAACGAAGUGGGAGGGCCCAGACAGCCAGGAGGUUGGCUUAGAAGCAGCCACCCUUUAAAGAAAGCGUAAUAGCUCACUGGUCGAGUCGGCCUGCACGUAAGAUUUAACGGGGCUAAGCUAUGCACCGAAGUUGCGGAAUAAUUUAGUAUAUUGGUAGGGGAGCGUUCUGUAAGCCGAUGAAGGUGAAUUGAGAAGUUUGCUGGAGGUAUCAGAAGUGCGAAUGCUGACAUGAGUAACGUAAAAUAAGUGAGAUUCUUAUUGGCCGAAAACCCAAGGAUUCCUACGCAAUAUUAAUCAACGUAGGGUAAGCCGGCCCCUAAGGCGUAGCUGAAGAGUGAAGUCGAUGGGAAACAGGUUAAUAUUCCUGUGCCGCUUAUAUGAACGAAGGAGGGACGGAGAAGGUUAGGUAGGCCUGGCGAAUGGCUGUCCAGGUGAAAGUAUAUAGGUAGAGGUGUUAGGCAAAUCCGGCAUCUUGUUAAUCUGAGAUACGAGACGAAGUCAAACUUGUUUGACGAAGCUAUUGAUACCAUGCUUCCAGGAAAAGCUUCUAAGUAUAUUGUGUAAGCGACCGUACUGUAAACCGACACUGGUGGGUAGGUAGAGAAUACUAAGGCUAUGAGAUAACUCUGGUGAAGGAACUAGGCAAAAUGACACCGUAACUUUGGAAAAAGGUGUGCCCUUGAUGGUGAUAAGACUUGCUCUUUGAGCUGUUGGGGGUUGCAGAUACCAGGUGGCUGCGACUGUUUAUCAAAAACACAGCACUCUGCGAAAUCGUAAGAUGAAGUAUAGGGUGUGACGCCUGCCCGGUGCUGGAAGGUUAAUUGAAGGGGUUAGCGCAAGCGAAGCUCUGGAUCGAAGCCCCAGUAAACGGCGGCCGUAACUAUAACGGUCCUAAGGUAGCGAAAUUCCUUGUCGGGUAAGUUCCGACCUGCACGAAUGGCGUAACGAUGGCCACACUGUCUCCACCAGAGACUCAGUGAAAUUGAAAUCGCUGUGAAGAUGCAGCGUACCCGCGGUUAGACGGAAAGACCCCGUGAACCUUUACUACAGCUUUGCACUGGACUUUGAAUAUUUAUGUGUAGGAUAGGUGGGAGACUAUGAAGCAGCUACGCCAGUAGUUGUGGAGUCGUCCUUGAAAUACCACCCUUGAAUAUUUGAAGUUCUAACUCAGGAGAAAUUCGAGGACAGUGUAUGGUUGGUAGUUUGACUGGGACGGUCUCCUCCUAAAGAGUAACGGAGGAGUACGAAGGUGCACUCGGUACGGUCGGAAAUCGUGCCAAGAGUAUAAAGGCAAAAGUGCGCUUGACUGCGAGAGUGACGGCUCGAGCAGGUACGAAAGUAGGUCUUAGUGAUCCGGUGGUCCCGAAUGGAAGGGCCAUCGCUCAACGGAUAAAAGGUACUCCGGGGAUAACAGGCUGAUUCCUCCCAAGAGUUCAUAUCGACGGAGGAGUUUGGCACCUCGAUGUCGGCUCAUCACA
rnacentral:rRNA from 1 species